CAUAUCGCAACUAACUAUGAUUAGAAAGCGAAAUGUUCAGCAUCUAAUGCCAUCAAUGGGUCUAAACCACCUGC
rnacentral:tRNA from 1 species